AUGGGGGCAGGGAGCAUGUGGCAGCGCAAGCUGCUUACCUUCUGGAAGCCAGGAAACAAAGAGUGGGACAGGAAGGGCUGGGAUCCCAAAUGCCGCUUCAUGAACAUGCUUCACGGACAUGCUCACAGUGACCUCUUUCCUAUGAUGCUCCUGGUGGAGGCAGAAGGAUCAGAAAUUCAAAGUUCUUCUCAGCGACAUACGAAUGGCGGUACAUGUAUAGACUCAUGGUUGCUUAAGAUGAUGAGAGUUGUUACCUUUCUGCCUGGUCCUUGCUGUUGGGGCCCCUAUGUGGUCUGCUCCUGUGAAGACUCCAUAUCUAGAUCCAUUCUACAGCACUUCGCUCAGAGUGGUUGGGAAACUGCUCAGGUCGUUCUGGUGUGGCCCUGCUGCCUUCUGAGGGAGUGGUGA
rnacentral:lncRNA from 1 species